rnacentral:tRNA from 2 species
GACCCGUUAGCUCAGUCGGUAGAGCACCUGCCUUUUAAGCAGGGUGUCGCUGGUUCGAUCCCAGCACGGGUCACCA